rnacentral:tRNA from 1 species
GCCUUGGUAGCUCAGUGAUUGAGCAUCAUCCUAUGAACCAGGAGGUCAUGGUUCGAUUCCUGGUCAGGGCA